GAUGAACGCUGGCGGCGUGCCUAAUACAUGCAAGUCGAGCGAACAGAUAAGGAGCUUGCUCCUUUGACGUUAGCGGCGGACGGGUGAGUAACACGUGGGUAACCUACCUAUAAGACUGGGAUAACUUCGGGAAACCGGAGCUAAUACCGGAUAAUAUUUCGAACCGCAUGGUUCGAUAGUGAAAGAUGGUUUUGCUAUCACUUAUAGAUGGACCCGCGCCGUAUUAGCUAGUUGGUAAGGUAACGGCUUACCAAGGCGACGAUACGUAGCCGACCUGAGAGGGUGAUCGGCCACACUGGAACUGAGACACGGUCCAGACCCCUACGGGAGGCAGCAGUAGGGAAACUUCCGCAAUGGGCGAAAGCCUGACCGGGCAACGCCGCGUGAGUGAUGGAGGUCUUCGGGUCGUAAAACUCUGUUAUUAGGGAAGAACAUACGUGUAAGUAACUGUGCACGUCUUGACGGUACCUAAUCAGAAAGCCACGGCUAACUACGUG
rnacentral:rRNA from 1 species